rnacentral:rRNA from 1 species
AUGCACGCUGGCGGCGCGCCUCAUCCAUGCAAGUCGAGCGAACAGACGAGGAGCUUGCUCCUUUGACGUUAGCGGCGGACGGGUGAGUAACACGUGGAUAACCUACCUAUAAGACUGGGAUAACUUCGGGAAACCGGAGCUAAUACCGGAUAACAUGUUGAACCGCAUGGUUCAACAGUGAAAGACGGUCUUGCUGUCACUUAUAGAUGGAUCCGCGCCGCAUUAGCUAGUUGGUAAGGUAACGGCUUACCAAGGCAACGAUGCGUAGCCGACCUGAGAGGGUGAUCGGCCACACUGGAACUGAGACACGGUCCAGACUCCUACGGGAGGCAGCAGUAGGGAAUCUUCCGCAAUGGGCGAAAGCCUGACGGAGCAACGCCGCGUGAGUGAAGAAGGUCUUCGGAUCGUAAAACUCUGUUAUUAGGGAAGAACAAAUGUGUAAGUAACUAUGCACGUCUUGACGGUACCUAAUCAGAAAGCCACGGCUAACUACGUG